rnacentral:tRNA from 1 species
GUUUCCGUAGUGUAGUGGUUAUCACGUUUGCCUAACCCGUGAAAGGUCCCUGGUUUGAAACCGGGUGGAAACA